rnacentral:rRNA from 1 species
UACGGAGGGUGCUAGCGUUGUUCGGAUUUACUGGGCGUAAAGGGCACGCAGGCGGCGAUACAAGAUAGGGGUGAAAUCCCAGGGCUCAACCCUGGAACUGCCUUUAUAACUGUAUUGCUUGAGUUCGAGAGAGGAUGGCGGAAUACCCAGUGUAGAGGUGAAAUUCGUAGAUAUUGGGUAGAACACCGGUGGCGAAGGCGGCCAUCUGGCUCGAAACUGACGCUGAGGUGCGAAAGCGUGGGGAGCGAACAGG